rnacentral:rRNA from 1 species
GACGAACGCUGGCGGCGUGCUUAACACAUGCAAGUCGAACGGAAAGGCCCUGCUUGCAGGGUACUCGAGUGGCGAACGGGUGAGUAACACGUGGGUGAUCUGCCCUGCACUUCGGGAUAAGCCUGGGAAACUGGGUCUAAUACCGGAUAGGAGCCAUUCUUAGUGUGAUGGUUGGAUAGUUUUUUCGGUGUAGGAUGAGCUCGCGGCCUAUCAGCUUGUUGGUGGGGUAAUGGCCUACCAAGGCGGCGACGGGUAGCCGGCCUGAGAGGGUGGACGGCCACAUUGGGACUGAGAUACGGCCCAGACUCCUACGGGAGGCAGCAGUGGGGAAUAUUGCACAAUGGGCGCAAGCCUGAUGCAGCGACGCCGCGUGGGGGAUGACGGCCUUCGGGUUGUAAACUCCUUUCGCUAGGGACGAAGCUUUUGUGACGGUACCUAGAUAAGAAGCACCGGCUAACUACGUG